rnacentral:sRNA from 1 species
GUCAAACUGAGCCAGACGCGGCGGUGGCGGCGGCUCCGCGGGCUACGGUCGCUCCCGCCUCCCGAGCGCUGCCGGCGGCCGCACCGGCGCACCCACGCCGGCCCGGAGGAGCAGAGUGAGAUGGAUGUUCCCUCCUCUACUCCAGGCCAGUUUCCCAAGGCCUCUGGGUAAUGUCUAUGUGAUUAAACAGUCUCUUGGGAAUAGAACUCCUUUCAGUUAAGCAGCUCUGUUUUCCAGAAAUCCCUGGAUAAUUUUAUGACCAUGUGGUAAAGUGUUCAUUUCUGUGUCGGGCACAGUGCUAAGUGCUGGGUGCUCACUGGUGGUGAGGCAGAUGAAGGUUACCAAACUUGUGGACAGGAGCCUCAUAUCAGAGACGUGGACCUCACUGUAGCCUGGUCAUGGCUUCCAGCUUUUCAAAUCUGAGGCUCCAAAGGAGGAAAUGACCAUUCAGGGAUCUUACUCCAGCUUGAUUACGGAGACUGAACCUUCAUAGGGUGCGCACUUACCAAGGACAGGAAGGUUUCUCUCUUUGAAGGG